UUGUAGGAGGAUCCAAAUCUUGAGUCUAUCUGGGAAGGCUCUACAAAUCCUCAUAUUGGUGACUACGACGAAUGUUCGACAAACACAAAUGUUAGUAACGCCGAAGAAUGCCGUACAAAUCCACAUGUUAGUAGUCUCGGAGAAGGCUCUCUUUCGGACACUGGAGCAUGCAAGGAAUCUUCUACUAAAACGAGUUAUGUGAGGCUGCUUAUGGCCAGUACUGAGGGGAAAGUGAUCGAACGUGUCUACAAGACUGGGAACGGCAAUCUUGAGCAAAAAUACCGAAUUACUAUCUCGGAAUACUUCAUGGUGCGAGAGUUUGAAGCCCAGGACUUCCCAGAUACAUUCCGGAUUUCUUCGAAGCGUUUUGUGGAGAUGGCCGAUGAGAUUCAUGCCCAAUUUCCCAAGGUAGAUAAAAAGCUUUUCUUCGUACCCUACGAGAAAGAGACAAAAACCCUUGCCAAAGGGCAUUUGUACAAGGCAUUUAACAAUUUUAAACGCAACAUGGGCCUCACAAUUCCGCACAAGAAGAAUCCCAAAACUGAUGCCACCGACCCUGACGAUUUUAGCAACCACAGUGACGCUCUUGAGUAUGUAAAGACUCAUUUGCAUCCGGAGGUUGCUGUUAAAAAAUAUUGGUCAAUAUCUCGUGAAGAGCGAUUGAACAAUUUCACAAGUUUUCAAGAUUAUUUGACAGAGUAUCCAGUAUUGACUACAAAGGAAGGAUCUCAGUAUUUUUUGAGCGACUUCGAAGAGGAAUUUCCUCAAUCAGCGUCAAAUUUCGUGGAGAAUUAGGAGACCCUGAAUGACGAACUCAGCGCAUAUGGACUCUCCACUGAUCAACGAUAUUUCAAGAAUCUAAAUAAGAAACUUCAUGAGCAUUUGAUUGGACUUUGUGUGUUGGCUUACUAUCUUGCCACUUCUUCGUACAUUUCCUGUGAAACCAAUCCAGAUGGGACAAAGAAUAAGCGAAAGAAGUACACCCGUGAAGAUGUUAUUCAAGCACUCUUUCUUUAUAAAAACGAAAAUCAUAUUAGCUAUGUAAUUUAGAGAAAACACAUACAGACUGAAUAUGUAAAAAAAGUGGUGCUCGAAAUAUAUAUAUUUUUAUUUAAAAUUA